GUGGGCAUGGUGGGGAUGGGUUGGGGUUGG
rnacentral:miRNA from 7 species